rnacentral:rRNA from 1 species
UACAGAGGUCCCAAGCGUUGUUCGGAUUCACUGGGCGUAAAGGGUGCGUGAGGCGGUACGGUAGUCUGAUGUGAAAUCUCACAGCUUAACUGUCGAAACUGCAUUGGAUACUAUCCGGCUCGAGGAAUGGAGGGGAGACUGGAAUACUUGGUGUAGCAGUGAAAUGCGUAGAUAUCGAAGUGGAACACCAGUGGCGAAGGCGAGUCUCUGGACAUUUCCUGACGCUGAGGCACGAAAGCCAGGGGAGCAAACGGG